GCCGAAGUGGCGGAACUGGUAGACGCGCUAGGUUCAGGGUCUAGUGGAGAGUUCUCCAUCGGGGUUCAAGUCCCCGCUUCGGCACCA
rnacentral:tRNA from 3 species